UCUAUAGGUUAAAUCCCUAACUUCCUACUCAGAUAAAUCAGCAGGAACACUCACAGCAAAAGGGAGAAAUCGCAGGCUGGCUCUCAUUAGUGAAAUGGGGACGAAUGGGUUGAAGAAAUAUUAAAUGAAAAUGGUGCUGAAAAAUCUAAAGCAGCAGUUAACCCCGUCCAACCCUACAUUUAUUGGGAUAUCACCAGAAAAAAUAUCUCAUGGAUCGUCAACAUGAAUGAUUCUUCAGACGCAAUGCCGUGAAAUGAAGGAAAAGAAGCAAAACUGGAACAUUAAUAAAUGAAAUGCAAAUUGUUCUU